UUUUUUUGAGGAGAGAGAGGUAUGUGAUCUCCACUUCUUUAAAAAUUGCAGGGAGGACCUCUCUGGGUAGAAAGUGAUCUUCUUCUGCGGGGGGAUCCUCAGCUGGUGGAGGACCUCUUACACCAUCUGAGAAGAGGUACGUGGCUCAGCAGGGGAGAUGUGGGCUGGAUGGCUGCAAUCACCCGGGCUGCUGUGGCUGCUGCGUUUCCUGCUGGAUCAUCCAUCUCACUGCUACGUGGUGCUUUCCUGGUUUGCUGGUGGGUCUUACUCGGGCCACAGUUUCAAAAGGUCUUAAAAAACAUAGCAACAAUACAUUCCAACACUUCCCUCUGAUUAUGGGAAAGCACCCUUCCCUCCAAGCCUAGGUAUCCAGGUUUCUCUUGUUUGAAAUUGACUCUUCUCCAGGAUUAUGUGACCAUUUUACAGUGAGCAGUUUUUCUUUUCUUGUUUGUUCAAUUUGUGGAAUUGCCUGAAGGGAGAUCACAGUUUCCUCACAAUUACUUUGUGUGUUGUUUGUUCUCUGAGCUGACUGGGAAUGUCCAAAAUUUGUCCUGCGGUGCUGAGCUGUGACCAAUCAUGGAAGUCACAUGGAAGAAGUGACGGGUUGAUCCUGGAAGGCAAAAUGACUGGGAGUUGAAGGUAUGUUAGAUAUUUUUUUUCCUUCAUGACAUGACUUCCCACAGUUAUACGGUGACUGGUUAGGUGGCAUUAAUCUGGUUGCUUAGUCUUUAUCUUCACCCCAUGACCUAAGCUUGCUGAUGUACACAGCCUCCCACCCAUCUCAGAAGACAAGUGAUAUCUACCUUAAAUGCUUAAAAGAGUUUAACAUCUGAGUCUAUAUUUAUUUUCAACAUGUUAAAAAACAAUUUUAAAAAAUUAACCUAUGAUUAUAUAAUUGUCCUUAUCUCCUUGUUAACAUUAAUUAUCAAUAACUUCUGUCAUAUAAGUGACUGAAUUUCCAAAGGAUUCAUUUCACAUGUACCCUGGAACCCCUCUAUUAGGAUUGUCCUUCCUGUGCACAGAGGUGCCCACACCACUUCUGCCCUCCUCUUGCUUUGAAGUUUUUCUAUCCAGCAAGGAGAUCUAUCCACCUCUUGGUGCAAUGGACUAUGUUCGCACCACAUCUUUGAAUCCAAGUGUCUCAAUUCUAUGGCUGCCCGAUACCCUAUGAGAGUCUCUAGUGCAGAUGAGCUCCUGGGAAUAAUAUUUUGCUAUCAGAAGGGCAUAGUGUACCUAGGGAGACAGAUUUGACUCAUUGCACUGGAAGACAGACAAUUGCACCCCUAAAUGGCCUGUGAAGGCCUUGAAGAGGCAUCUUGCUAAGUUGUAAAGGGCUAUUGAUAUUCUGUCAGCUUCAAAAUAAAAAUACCAGACUUGUAUGCUUUUUCCAUGUCCUUGGAACUUCAAGGAGUAAACGCAUUCAUUUCCUUUCAUUUUGCAUCCAUCUGAUUGCUUUUAAACGUAGUUCAGAUCAAAUCUUUCCAACACUGAUACCUGUGGCAAAACUCCCUUCUGACUUUCAUAAGACAGGGAUUUGGCCCAUAAGAAUUAGUGUCUAGGGAGGAUGCAUUGAAAUAAAUGGUGAUUGUCAAAGCACAUUGGAAUUUAGAGCACAUUUGUUGCAAAGAUAGAAGCUCACUGGGGUAUCUGAUUGUCAGAGUCAAUUUUAUUUUCCUUACUGCACAUAUGCACAUAUUUGAACCUUGUCAUGCUGCAAAGGGAAAUACCUCAUUAGAUUUCACUAGGGUUUCUUCAGAAUUGUUUAUACACUACAGUCAAUAAAGAUUUUUUUUGUUUAAUAAAUGAAAUACUGGAGUCGCCUGUUCUAUCAGGAAAUCGAAGGAAGUGCAUUUAUCCCUGGUAAAGACGAAGCUCUACUUUAUAGGGUGCAGAAAGCCUGCAAUGUGUAUUAUUUUUCAAAUAGUUGAAAGAUUUAUAGUGGUAAAUAGAUUCUUUUUCAGUCUCUUGGUCGUGUUGUCUGCAACAAAGCAAAUGUUACAAAUAAAAAUAAGAGUAAACCCAGAGCAUUUCUACGUUCUGUAUUUUCAAUUAUGAUUUUAACAGAAAUGAAUCACUUGUCCUUUUUUCUUUGGAAACAGUUUUACUUCCCUUUUCCCCACUGGACAUAUAAUUUUGAUUUAUAAACACAGCAAUCUGGAGCAAAGGGAAGUUUUAAGCACAGUACCUGCUGCUGCUGAGGCCUAGUUUUAUUUUGCUUACAAUUUUUAUUUUUAUUUUCUUUACAUUUUCAUAUCAAUUAUAACUUUCUACUUUAGAGAUUAAAAACAUGGUUGCAGAUGACAUAUUUUGCCCAUUCCGA